CACGUAGGGCGCGAGCGUUGUCCGGAAUUAUUGGGCGUAAAGAGCUCGUAGGCGGCCUGUUGCGUCCGCUGUGAAAGCCCGGGGCUUAACCCCGGGUCGGCAGUGGAUACGGGCAGGCUAGAGGUAGGUAGGGGAGAAUGGAAUUCCCGGUGUAGCGGUGAAAUGCGCAGAUAUCAGGAGGAACACCGGUGGCGAAGGCGGUUCUCUGGGCAUUACCUGACGCUGAGGAGCGAAAGUGUGGGGAGCGAACAGG
rnacentral:rRNA from 1 species